GCCCGGGUGGUGGAAUUGGUAGACACAGGGGAUUUAAAAUCCCCCGCCUUCGGGUGUGACGGUUCAAGUCCGUCUCCGGGCA
rfam:Gammaproteobacteria bacterium MedPE Gammaproteobacteria-MedPE-C36, whole genome shotgun sequence.